rnacentral:tRNA from 1 species
UGGCCGCCAGCUGGAGGGUGGCCUCGCCACGGUCCGGGGCGAACGCGGCGAUGUAGACGAGGGACUUGACGUUCGGGUUGCCGGUGGCCGC